rnacentral:rRNA from 1 species
AGCUCCAAUAGCGUAUAUUAAAGUUGUUGCAGUUAAAAAGCUCGUAGUUGGAUUUGUGGCGUACGUUGGGCUGCCGUCACUAUUUGGUGUCGGUGUUGCUUGGCGUUGCCAUCCUUGGGUGGAAUCUGUGUGGCAUUAGGUUGUCGUGCAGGGGAUGCCCAUCGUUUACUGUGAAAAAAUUAGAGUGUUCAAAGCAGGCUUACGCCGUUGAAUAUAUUAGCAUGGAAUAAUAAGAUAGGACCUUGGUACUAUUUUGUUGGUUUGCGCACCGAGGUAAUGAUUAAUAGGGACAGUUGGGGGUAUUCGUAUUUCAUUGUCAGAGGUGAAAUUCUUGGAUUUUUGAAAGACGAACUACUGCGAAAGCAUUUACCAAGGAUGUUUUCAUUAAUCAAGAACGAAA